rnacentral:rRNA from 1 species
CAGCCGCCACGGUAAUACGUAGGGCGCGAGCGUUGUCCGGAAUUAUUGGGCGUAAAGAGCUCGUAGGCGGCUGGUCGCGUCUGUCGUGAAAUCCUCUGGCUUAACUGGGGGCUUGCGGUGGGUACGGGCCGGCUUGAGUGCGGUAGGGGAGACAGGAACUCCUGGUGUAGCGGUGGAAUGCGCAGAUAUCAGGAAGAACACCGGUGGCGAAGGCGGGCCUCUGGGCCGUUACUGACGCUGAGGAGCGAAAGCGUGGGGAGCGAACAGGAUUAGAUACCCUGUAGUCCCUGUCUCUUAUACA